rnacentral:rRNA from 1 species
UAGGGAAUCUUCCGCAAUGGGCGAAAGCCUGACGGAGCAACGCCGCGUGAGUGAUGAAGGUCUUCGGAUCGUAAAACUCUGUUAUUAGGGAAGAACAAAUGUGUAAGUAACUAUGCACGUCUUGACGGUACCUAAUCAGAAAGCCACGGCUAACUACGUGCCAGCAGCCGCGUUAUACGUAGGUGGCAAGCGUUAUCCGGAAUUAUUGGGCGUAAAGAGCGCGUAGGCGGUUUUUUAAGGCUGAUGUGAAAGCCCACGGCUCAACCGAGGAGGGUCAUUGGAAACUGGAAAACUUGAGUGCAGAAGAGGAAAGUGGAAGUCCAUGUGUAGGGGGGAAAUGCGCAGAGAUAUGGAGGAACACCAGUGGCGAAGGCGACUUUCUGGUCUGUAACGGACGCUGAUGUGCGAAAGCGUGGGGAUCAAACAGG